UCAGGAAANUCUGGAGUAAAAGGCUAUGGCUCAACCAUAGUGUGNUCUGGAAACUGUCUGACUUGAGUGCAGAAGGGGAGAGUGGAGUUCCAUGUGUAGCGGUGAAAUGCGUAGAUAUAUGGAGGAACACCAGUGGCGAAAGCGGCUCUCUGGUCUGUCACUGACGCUGAGGCUCGAAAGCGUGGGUAGCGAACAGGAUUAGAUACCCUGGUAGUNCACGCCGUAAACGAUGAGUGCUAGGUGUUAGGCCCUUUCCGGGGCUUAGUGCCGGAGCUAACGCAAUAAGCACUCCGCCUGGGGAGUACGACCGCAAGGUUGAAACUCAAAGGAAUUGACGGGGGCCCGCACAAGCGGUGGAGCAUGUGGUUUAAUUCGAAGCAACGCGAAGAACCUUACCAGGUCUUGACAUCCCGAUGCUAUUCUUAGAGAUAGGAAGUUACUUCGGUACAUCGGAGACAGGUGGUGCAUGGUUGUCGUCAGCUCGUGUCGUGAGAUGUUGGGUUAAGUCCCGCAACGAGCGCAACCCUUAUUGUUAGUUGCCAUCAUUAAGUUGGGCACUCUAGCGAGACUGCCGGUAAUAAACCGGAGGAAGGUGGGGAUGACGUCAAAUCAUCAUGCCCCUUAUGACCUGGGCUACACACGUGCUACAAUGGUCGGUACAACGAGUUGCGAGCCGGUGACGGCAAGCUA
rnacentral:rRNA from 1 species